rnacentral:rRNA from 1 species
AGAGUUUGAUCCUGGCUCAGAAUCAACGCUGGCGGCGUGCCUCAGACAUGCAAGUCGAACGAUUAAAGCUCUCUUCGGAGAGUGCAUAGAGUGGCGCACGGGUGAGUAACACGUAAGUAAUCUACCCUCGAGUGGGGAAUAACGUUCGGAAACGGACGCUAAUACCGCAUAAUGCAGCGGCACCGCAAGGUGACAGUUGUUAAAGAUUUAUCGCUUGAGGAGGAGCUUGCGGCAGAUUAGCUAGUUGGUAAGGUAAUGGCUUACCAAGGCUACGAUCUGUAACCGGUCUUAGAGGACGGUCGGUCACACUGACACUGAAUAACGGGUCAGACUCCUACGGGAGGCAGCAGUCGGGAAUUUUGGGCAAUGGGCGAAAGCCUGACCCAGCAACGCCGCGUGAAGGAUGAAGUAUUUCGGUAUGUAAACUUCGAAAGAAUAGGAAGAAUCAAUGACGGUACUAUUUAUAAGGUCCGGCUAACUACGUGCCAGCAGCCGCGGUAAUACGUAGGGACCAAGCGUUGUUCGGAUUUACUGGGCGUAAAGGGCGCGUAGGCGGCGCGGUAAGUCACUUGUGAAAUCUCUGAGCUUAACUCAGAACGGCCAAGUGAUACUGCAGUGCUAGAGUGUGGAAGGGGCAAUCGGAAUUCUUGGUGUAGCGGUGAAAUGCGUAGAUAUCAAGAGGAACACCUGAGGUGAAGACGGGUUGCUGGGCCAACACUGACGCUGAGGCGCGAAAGCCAGGGGAGCAAACGGGAUUAGAUACCCCGGUAGUCCUGGCCCUAAACGAUGAAUACUUGGUG